CUAUAAAGAGCAAGAGAGUGUCCUUUCAGCCUCAAGCCCUUCUCAUGAAUGAGUGUUAAUCUCAUUGAUGAGAGCAGGGUGGAGGCUUCAUAAUUAAAUCACCUCCCAAAGGUCACACCUUUUAAUGCUGUUGAAUUGGGGAUUAAGUUUCAACAAGAAUGUUGAAGGGAACAUCAUCAUUCAAACCAUUGAAAUUCUCCAUCCCAGAGUGAUAUAUCUUGAAAAUUCACUUCAUUUGAGAGUCAUUUGUUUCUUGAUAACUGUUGUCCAGUUGCUACAUACUUCAUUAAAUUGAUGCAAAGGAAAAUCUGUUCAUUGUGCUCAAAAUUUUAGAGAAAGACACGAGAAAUGAUGAAGAAGUGGAUGAUUGACAGAGAGUUCAGCUGAGUUUCAGUUUGGUGAGAGGAUGUCUAAUAUAGAGGGCACUCCAGGAGUGGGCCUAGCAGCCUUAGCUGGAUGAGGCGGUCCCAUGGAAGAGGAUUGCCUAACACAUGAUUUUGAACUUCAUCCUUACAGACCCACGAAUGUGUUUCUCAAGGACCUGGGAACCAUCUCUGAAAUGUCAUCAUCAAUGGAGAUGGCACCUACCUACCUCAGUUUCUGUGGGAGGGUAGCAGCCUAACUUUGGAAGGUCUUCGUGGACAAUAUGCCCAUGCAGCUGUGUCAUCUCUUAUAAUAGCAACACCUCCUGCUGGAAUACCUCCUGAAUAACCCGCUUGAGGCUGUUUAAAAUGGUUCACUUUUUUUAUUUUUAAUAUAUAUGUAGAAGGAGUAGAUUCUAAAAUAAUGACAAAAGUAUGGCGUAGUAAAUACAUAAACCAGAAACAUGGUCAUUUAUUAUCAGUAUUAAGUCUUAUGUACUGUCUAAAAUUGUAUUGCUAUACUUUUAUACUACUACUAACACAGUGGGUUUGUUUACAUCAGCAUCACCACAAACACAUAAGUAAUGCAUCGGGCUAGGACAUUAAGAUAGCUUGUCACCUAUUCUAUCGAUAUGUGAUAAAAAUGUUUCAGUUCCAUUUUAAUCUUAUGGAACCAGUGUUGUCUAUGCGGCCUGUCGUUGACCCAAAUGUCAUUAUGUAGUGCAUAACUGUACUAACACUGAGAAAAACUGAGUGUUUGUAUUUUAGAGUUAAGCACUGAUACGUUUACAAAUAAAAUAAUAUCUGACAUUUGUUUCAAAGUAAUCUGGAUAAGAGGAUAUGGUAAGAACAUAUAUAAAGUAAGAUUGACCAUGGGUUGAUAAUGUAUGAAGCUAAGUGGUAAAUAAUCUUUGUUCCAACCUUUGUGUAUAGUGGUUCUCAAAGAUGAUCCCUGCGCUAGCAGCAACAGCAUCAUUUGAGAUCUUGUUUGAAAAGUAAACUCUCUGAGGAAACCACAUAUUUUGUAACCAAAACUCUGCACAUGAGGCCCAUUAGUCUGUGGUUUCACAAGCCCUUUAGGUAAUUUUUGUAUAUUUUUAAGCUAUCCAUAAUACAACGAAAAAUAAUGAAAACACCCAGGACAAAUGUUUCACUGGAAAAAUUUGAAUAAAGUUUGCAGACAUAAUUCUAAUCUUAAACACUUUCAAAAGAUAGAAGAGGAUCUAUUCCCUAACCCAGUCUGUGAGAGUAGAAAACCUUAGCCCUGGAACUGAACAAAGAGUAUGAAAGAACUAUCAAAUCCAGUCUCACUUAUGAACAAAAGAUCCAAUAAUCUUAAGUAGUUAAGUAAAUCUAGCAUUAUGUAAAAAUAAUAGAAAUACAUCAGAACUAAGUUGUAUUUAUCCUAGAAAAUGAAAGUUGAUUUAACAUUUGAAAAACUUCAAAAAGCAGGGAGGUUUAAAGGAGUUUGUUUAUUCUUAAUAUAUUCUGUUUAUUUAUUUCAGUGUUUUUAUAUGAGUAUCCUUAAUUUUCUAAACUGUGUUAAGAUGCAUGCUUAUAAUUGUUUUACUUUUUUGAUUGGAAGAUAAGCCUAAAUAAAGGUUGUGAAAACGA
rnacentral:lncRNA from 1 species